rnacentral:lncRNA from 1 species
UUUUCGUUUUCUUUUUUAUAAAUAUAUAUUAUAUAUAUAUACACAUAUAAAAGAAAAAAUGAAAAAAAAGUUUACAAAUUUAAGUUGACAAUGAAAUGUGAAGUUGGUCCUAGUUUACAUCUUAGAGGAAUGUAUAUGUAUGUUUUACAUGCCUAAAUAUCUGCAGGUUUUCUUACAGGUAAAGCGAAGUGCUUUGAAAAGUUUAGAUUAUACAUGUGUGACAGAUGCGGCAUAUUUGCUCUAUUAACACAGAGGCUUACUAUAGAAAUCUAAAGUCAAUGCUGUACAUCCAUCCAGUUAGUGUAACUGAAGGGAAAUGUAACUUUGUGCUGAGUUAGACAUCUGUAUUGUCAGUGAUUCUUGUAGAAUAUGUGCUCAGAUCUGAGUUAUAUUUAGUUUUGGAAGGUAAGUUGAAGAGUACUUUUGAUCAGUUUAUGAUUCAGUUUAUGAUUUUAGUUUUUGCCUUCAUGUUAUACAUUUAUGAUUUGAAACUGUACAUCUGUUACCUUGAAAAACAUUGAAGAAAGUACUGAAGUGUGCAUGGAGGUGGUUUAAGCAUAAUACUUAACCCAAGAAAGAGUGUAAGUGGACACAAGCUGUGCCUGCACAUAGCUGUGCAGGGUAGACUGCCUACAUACACAUGGCCGGGAUUCUUUAUUUCCUUGUUAUCAAUUAUAGUGCUUUGUUUGUUUCAGGGUUGGAAUUCUCAACCAGAAAUAAUACUUUCUAAAAUAUUUUAAAAUUCAGCUUGUGCUUUGGAUUAUAGAAGGAAAUUAUACUUUAAGAAAAUGUUC